rnacentral:misc_RNA from 1 species
CUAAGGAAACCAAUAAAAUCAAUCAUCUUCAGUUUUAAAAGACUUAGGAUAACUAAGUUUUUCUUCGUGACUUCACGAAGGGCCUAUAGCUCAGUUGGUUAGAGCACACGCCUGAUAAGCGUGAGGUCGGUGGUUCAAGUCCAUUUAGGCCCACCAGAGUUAUAGGUGUCGUAAGAACACAAAUUCUUUGAAAAUUAGGUAAAUAAUAGUUAUUUUUCCGGA